AGGAGCCAUAUGAGGUGAAAAUCUCAUGUACGGUUCUGUAAAGGGACAGUAAGGACCCAUCCCAA
rfam:Triticum urartu cultivar G1812 contig1093378, whole genome shotgun sequence.